CAUUGUCAAGCACACGAAAUCUGCUCGCGUAACAAGUAACAAGUGAAGUUCUUACGAAACGUUACCGCACCGCCGCAGCUUCUAUUGAGCUGUUAGCUGGAAUGACAGCAAAGUAAUUACACACAUACGCUGCGUUUUCUCGCUCAAGCACGGCACUCCGUCGUGCGUGGCUUAUAUUCUGACUGCUGUUGUAGAAGUCGCGGGGCGCUUUUUUUUUUUUUUUUUUGUGUUGCUGGGUGUACGUCGGAGAGACUUUCUCGCGUAUGCUGCGCUCGUGCUGAGUCAGUCGUGACGUAUUAUUUCUCGCGCCUUACGGCGCUCUACCUUCAAAUAAUAUCACUGAUUUUCCCGAGGGAACAGUGGGGGCCUAGUAGAGACCGGGCUUGCUCUCUUGGAGCAGUAUCUUCGCGCAUGCCCGGCUCUUUUGUUGUUUCCGGUGUACAAUCUGUUUCGCACUUAGGGGAAAACUCGGAGCGCCUUGCAUCGCGAUGCGGCGAGCGCUUGAGUCAGGCGACGGCAGCAGCGCGCGCAGGCGUAGGUGCUCGAGUGGCGGGGUCUUGAGCGGCGUCGUCUGCUACGGCGACGCGCGCUGGCCGCAUUGUCAGGAAGCGUGCUACUGUCAGGGGCAGUGCGCCGAUGUCAUCGUUACUGCGUGAAAUGAGCCGGUAUUCUUUACUAAGCGUUGUGCGACGCCCCCUGAUGCGCCUCGAUGACAAUCAGGGACGCCAUUUCAGACCCAGCAAAUUUGGAUGUCAGCAGAAUAAAAGUCUUGCUGGAGGCAACGCUGGAAGCUCGGCGGAAAAGCCCGGAGAAUGAACUUCCUGUGUACUUUCUAAACCCAGACGUGCUUGCACUUGAGGCCGAACUGAGGUUUGAAGCUUCUUAUGAAGACAUGCUAGCCAAGCUUCAACAUAUUCGAAAGAUGCUGGGUCGAACGAGCUUCAUCGAGAUUGACGAGUACCUUCGGCCAAAAAAAGCUGAAUUUGCCCUGAUCUCAUUGGAGACACAUGAACGAGGUGUGCCUAUUCCUGGCCCUUGUAUCAUCGCCCAAGAUGGACACAAAGUCGUCUGCAAGGGCCACACCAUUGAUCUGGCUGCGGGAUCAUCACUGGAGCAUGCUCUAAUCAUUUGCGUAACACUUUAUUUUAUCUUGGAUAUCACGUACCCAAAUGCAUUUGGUCAAACUUUGGGUUUGGUCCAGACAGCAUUAGCUAAGAGGGAGCCUUUUCCACGCUGCUUGAUGUCACACAAACUUACGCUGUGUUUAAAACAGUUGAAACAUCCUGCAAGAACUCGUUAGCUGAUGAGAUGCUGUAUGUAAGAUCUCCUUUUUUCUUUGAGCACAAACAAUGCAAAGAGGUAGCAGUGACUCACACAAACCUACAAACUAAAGGACAGCUUUUGGGUUUGGUAGUUCUAAAAACGCAUUGCUUAAAGUUGUGGCCAGUCAUAACAGCUUUGCUUUAAGCAUGUACACGCAUUGUCACCACAUUUAGGGCAACUGUUUAUUGGUCUAUUUUCUUUUUUGACUUUGGGCGACAAAUGAUAGGUGUGAUUUUUUGCAAGUGUAUGCGGCAUACUCAAAGCGAUACUGUUGCACUUUGUAGAAAAAUGCGUGUUGCUACAGUGAGGCAUAACAACACUUAUGAGGCUCGCAUUAAAUACAUUACUCUUUCUAGAUUAAAAAAGAAAAUAGCUGUCAUAUCAGCAAAUUUGCAGUAAGUGUCAUUUUCCAAGCUCGUAGCUAAACAUUGAUAUUCGCAGUUAUUUGUUUUGCGUACGUUGUAAUGGCAAAAUUGCAGCCAUCCACCAAUUAUGACUUUUCCACUUAUUAGGAAUUGCCAAACCCGCUGUUCUCAAACAUUGGUCCUGAACAUUCGAGCCCAAAUUUCGACCAAUAACACAUUCGUUGGGUGAACUAGAAUAACCAAGUCUUGUGUCACAGUUCCAGGAUAUUCUGAUUAUAAAGACUUAAUAUUGUGUCUACAAGAAAUUGUGUUAAGCUGCAGUUUUUAAUUAGUGUAUAUGUGCUACAAAUAUAAAUGAACAAGGCAAUUUGUGAAUGGAGCUUAUUAUUAAGAUGUCAGGAAAACUGACAUUACUGAAAUGCCAUUUCUUAUGACAAAUUUUUUAAACUACGAAAGGCUGUUUUUAAUUUCAAACCUUUUUGAUAUGACAUCCUGCAUAAAAAUUAAGCAUUGUCAAAUGCUACAUGAGGCUAGUAGGCAGUUUUUUGUUUUUUUUAGCAAGGUCUGUACCUGCCCUUCAGUUUACAAGUUGUGAAUGACUUGCAAGUUGUCUUAUCUAUAGUCAGAGAAAUGCUUUUUGGAGGAAAAGUGUGUCCUCAUAUACAGGGCUUGCAACAUGAGAGUAGUAUUUUGUGAUUGCUGAAAGUUAGUGUUUCUAUCGGCUGUUUUGAAUGUUUUCUUGCUGUAUAACAGCUUUAGAUGCAGGGGCAGCCCUUCCCUUCUAAGCAUGUAAAGGUUAAAAAAGAAUUUUGACCUCUUAUAUGAAGCAUUCCUGUCAGCCUUCAUUUUAGUGGCAACACAUCUUGUUCUUUCCUCUUUGUAGCCUUCUGAAUUACUCCUUGUUCUCUGUGGUCGAUGCAGUGGAAUAGCUGUUUAGUGCUUGUGCUUGCUUGGCUCUGGUGAGCGGUGUUAUAGCAAUUUAGGAAGCUACCUUGCUUGCUUUAGUGGUUUUGAUAAAAUUCAUGAUACAGCAGGAAAUGCUGAGUAGCGGUGAAUUGUAAUCGGUUAUAACUAAUAGCUAAUGCCGGAAGGUUUAUGCCUGCCUGCACAUUUAGUUUGAAGCAAUGUCUGUACCUGUUUUUAAGACCACAAGCUGCCUUAUAGUUUCGUCUUAUCUAGUCGGGCAGAAAAGUCCUAUUUGGAGGAAGCUGUGUCCUUUUAAUGCUUUAUGAGUUAUCUAUUUCUUUAGCACUACCUUGUUGUAGU